rnacentral:rRNA from 1 species
GUCGAGCGGGGAAGGGUAGCUUGCUACCUGACCUAGCGGCGGACGGGUGAGUAAUGCUUAGGAAUCUGCCUAUUAGUGGGGGACAACAUUCCGAAAGGAAUGCUAAUACCGCAUACGCCCUACGGGGGAAAGCAGGGGAUCUUCGGACCUUGCGCUAAUAGAUGAGCCUAAGUCAGAUUAGCUAGUUGGUGGGGUAAAGGCCUACCAAGGCGACGAUCUGUAGCGGGUCUGAGAGGAUGAUCCGCCACACUGGGACUGAGACACGGCCCAGACUCCUACGGGAGGCAGCAGUGGGGAAUAUUGGACAAUGGGCGCAAGCCUGAUCCAGCCAUGCCGCGUGUGUGAAGAAGGCCUUUUGGUUGUAAAGCACUUUAAGCGAGGAGGAGGCUACUUGGAUUAAUACUCUAGGAUAGUGGACGUUACUCGCAGAAUAAGCACCGGCUAACUCUGUGCCAGCAGCCGCGGUAAUACAGAGGGUGCGAGCGUUAAUCGGAUUUACUGGGCGUAAAGCGUGCGUAGGCGGCUUUUUAAGUCGGAUGUGAAAUCCCUGAGCUUAACUUAGGAAUUGCAUUCGAUACUGGGAAGCUAGAGUAUGGGAGAGGAUGGUAGAAUUCCAGGUGUAGCGGUGAAAUGCGUAGAGAUCUGGAGGAAUACCGAUGGCGAAGGCA